UUUCCUUUCCCCCUUCUUUAUCUUUCCAUCCUUCUUCCUCCCUUUUCUCCCCCGUCACCGACAGCCCUUCUUUUUCCCUUUCCUAAACUGAACAAGUUGUUGCCGCCACCAACGUCCUUCUUUCCCCUCCCCGCCACCAUGCUGCUUUCUCUUCUCCUUUCCCCCGCUGCAGACGUCGACCGGAGGAGAAAAGUGUACCCCAACGCCGAACUAGCUCCUAUCCUCCACCAAUCGCUUGUUCGACUCCGGAAUCAAGCUCCUCAUUAUUGAAAACCCCCAAGCCAAGCUUUCCCCAUCGUUUUCUGUCGCCAACAGCCUCGGUGGAGCCUCACCGGAACAGCGCCUUUCCGGCCACGAUCUAGUGUCUUCCGGCGAGUUUUCAGCAAAGCUUUUGUGUUUUCGAACUCUCUGCAACUCAAGCUUCGCGUGGGCACUUCCAGAUUCAAAUUCUGACACUGUUGGCAAUACCAGCUUUUGAACCCUGGUGUUUUUCGGACGCAUAUAUUUUUGGAUUUUCGGUUCGAUAACCCGUCCAUCCAGCCAGCUCCACCCGAGACGUAGGAGCAGACUGCAGAGCACGACAGAACUGUGAGUUAAAGUCAUAUAAUCAACUGUGCCUUUGUCGUAUCUAAAUUAAAUGCGAUACUAAUUGAUUAAUAAAUAUUAAAAUUAUUAUUAUUGUUAUUAUGAGUAAUUUCAAUUGAUCAAUAAUUAUUAUGAAUAUUAUUAGUAUUAUUAUUACUAAAUUUAAUUUCGUUAUUAUCAAUAUCAUAUUUAAUGUUAUUUUAAUAUUAUUGUUAUUAUUACACAUAAUUUGCAUGUUUGCUUCACUUGAGACUACUAGAUUUUAAUUCUCAAUAUGUUAUUGAAUAAAUUAUAUUUGCCUAUAUUUAUAUUGUUUAUAAUUAUUAUAUAUGUUAUGAUUGUGACAUUUGGAUGAGGCGACAAUAGAACAUGCCACCUGAUGGAUUGCAUCAGGACCGCGUGCACAACGGUAUUAAUCAGAGACAUGUAGUAAAGAUUAUUUUUGGGUUUUGCCCUGGUCGAGUAUAACUUUUUAGGCUGUGGAAGUUUGACUGCCAGAGGGAGGCCCCUGGUCGAGCGUUGCUCUCUGGGCGCCGGCUUAUUUGGGAAUCAAGUGUUCAUGCUAGAUUUAAGGACUCUGGUUGAGCUUCGCUCUCUGGGCGCCAGACCUAUUGGAGUAAGAGAUCCGGAAGGCUUGCGGGUUAGGGUUCUGCUGAGGCACUCAUCCCAUAAGUAUUUCAAUUGUAUUUUCUUUCUGAAUUAUGAUAUGACAUGUAUUUUAGUAUAAUAUGACAUGAUAUCCUGAUUUAAUAAUUGUUAUAUUAGAAAAGCUGUAAUAAUUUUAGGAUUAUAUGAUUUUAAUUCACUCUCGAGGCUGACAGUCUCAAUUUUAAUUU